CCACAAAGGAAAAGGAAGCAGCUGUGUGAAUGGGCAGGAGAGGCUCCUGAGGAGGGAGUGGGGAGGGGAGCUCACAGGAGGUUUCUCCACUGGGGAGAGGGAAACUCUGUGAUUGGAGAGUGAAAGGAUGGGAUCUCGGAGGGCGUGGAGGAAGGGGACAUGUGCAGAACACAUCGAGUAUGCGGACAUAGGCAUCCAGUACCAGUCUCCAUUGUUUCCAGUGCACCGUCAAUAUUCAC
rnacentral:lncRNA from 1 species